CACAUGCAAGUCGAGGGGCAGCAUCGCGAUAGCUUGCUAUUGCGGAUGGCGACCGGCGCACGGGUGAGUAACGCGUAUCCAACCUUCCCGCAACUGGGGAAUAACCUUGCGAAAGUAAGACUAAUACCCCAUGGUCUCCACGGAUGGCACCUGAAGUGGAGUAAAGGUUCCGGCCGGUUGCGGAUGGGGAUGCGUCCGAUUAGCUUGACGGCGGGGUAACGGCCCACCGUGGCAUCGAUCGGUAGGGGUUCUGAGAGGAAGGUCCCCCACAUUGGAACUGAGACACGGUCCAAACUCCUACGGGAGGCAGCAGUGAGGAAUAUUGGUCAAUGGGCGGAAGCCUGAACCAGCCAAGUAGCGUGAAGGACGACUGCCCUAUGGGUUGUAAACUUCUUUUAUGCGGGGAUAAAGUUCGCCACGUGUGGCGUUUUGCAGGUACCGCAUGAAUAAGGACCGGCUAAUUCCGUGCCAGCGGCCGCGGUAAUACGGAAGGUCCAGGCGUUAUCCGGAUUCAUUGGGUUUAAAGGGAGCGUAGGCCGCCUUUUAAGCGUGUUGUGAAAUGUAGGGGCUCAACCCCUGCACUGCAGCGCGAACUGGAGGGCUUGAGUACACACAAAGUAGGCGGAAUUCAUGGUGUAGCGGUGAAAUGCUUAGAUAUCAUGAAGAACCCCGAUUGCGAAGGCAGCUUACUGGAGUGUAACUGACGCUGAAGCUCGAAAGCGCGGGUAUCGAACAGGAUUAGAUACCCUGGUAGUCCGCGCGGUAAACGAUGGAUGCCCGCUGUUUGCCAAUUUGGUAAGCGGCCAAGCGAAAGCGUUAAGCAUCCCACCUGGGGAGUACGCC
rnacentral:rRNA from 1 species